CACGGAACUGGGCAGUGGACACCACCCUCCCUCGCAGGCUUCCAAAGUAAUUUGAAGGCCUUCCCUGACUUAAAGUGGAUGCUGCUUUGGAAAGCACUGGAAAAAUGGAUCCUGUCUUUCUUAGCCAAGGACUGGUCUCUUUUCUCCAAUGUGUCCCUAACAGAGUGGUGAGGCUGGCUCUUCCCACCAGUACAGGUAAUGUGGUAAAGAUAGGACCACGUGGACGAAGAGGUAUUACCUUCUCUAAUUACAGCUAACAAAGACCUAGGCCUAACCUCAACUGCACCUUCUGUCUCUGGGAAGUCACUUAUAGAGUAGACCUAUAAUUAGGAUUUGGUACCGGAAACAUAAUUCUCAGGAUGGUGAAUCUCUAAAUUAUGUCCCCAGAGACAUACCUGAGACAAAACCCUAAGGGCUGUUGGCCGUAAGAGGGUGUGUGUGGUAUUCUACAUUCAGUAGGGAUUUAUAAAUGAGGAUGAUAUCACUCA
rnacentral:lncRNA from 1 species